rnacentral:lncRNA from 13 species
AUGGCAAGAAUUGAGGUUGCUGUAGACCCGUGUGGAUUCGCCACCAGUAACAAAACCAUAAUUACACAGGGAGGGUUUCUUCCAUCAGGCUGGUGGCAUGCUCCUUCUACAGCAGAAUAUGCUGCGGCUUUUUUCUUAUUCUUUUGGCCUUCAGAAGAAAGAGUGCUGCAUGCCAGUGUCUUCAAGUGGAUACUUCUGAGGCCCUUCAGAAAGAGCAAGAAUGGAUCCAGAGAGCUGCUUGGCCUCAGGAUACUCCUUUGGUUCAUCUAUAUUCACCAGGGACAUUCCAGUGUUGUCGUUUUUAAACGGAUCCAAUGGGAGUUCAUGAUGACUCAGCCACAGCUAGCACAGAGCACACGGCACAUUCACUCCAUAUUCGCUCAAUUUAAUUUCUCCAAUGAAAAGCAAAUGUGUUUAUUAUUUAUAGGAACAACCUCCAUCCAAAAACAAGAGCAGUUAUUGUCUGAAUAAAAGGAUGCUCCAAGUUGUGAAGUUUCCCGGCUAUUUUGUGCUUCUAAGACCACCAAGAUUAAUAUGAAAACCCUUUGGAAAGAUUUCAGGAGUAAAGAGAAACUGAAAGUUAAAGUGUGAGAAGUGAAUUAAAGUUCAACCUGGAAAGAAGACAUAACAUCUUUGACAAGAUAAUAUAAGCCAAUAGGAAAAUGACUCAAUUUAUACGUAACCUUUCAGGAACACGUUUAUUUUAGCACAGGAAGCACACCUGUACGUGCAGACUAGCACCGACUCAAUCUUGUCAGAAGAAUAGAGUGUUCUUUUACUAAUAGGAGCUACUUCAUUAUUUCCACAAAGAUGAACACAGUCAAUGACCCAAAAGUUAGAUGUAUAGAUGGUCCACUUAAGAUUUGAGAAUUGUGAGGAAAAUAUGCCAUCACCCUAAAUAAGCUACUCAGUGACAUCUAAUCUUGAAGGAAGACAAGAUGUUUCCUGACACUUGUUUAUUGCUGUUCUGAUACACUGGGCAAAUUAUUUGCUCUCCAAGAAACAGAAACCUAUCCCUCUAAUGCUAUUACCAUAAUACUCUAGACAAAUACAUGCAAUUUCAUGUCAUUUUAUCUAGGCAUAUCAACUGGAUUUUAUGCUGUCAUUUUUCCCAGGCAAAGCUGAUAUCAUUACCACAUGACUUCAGCCAGCAAACAGUUCUGCUGUUAUCUCAUAUCCUCAUAGAAUCCUUUCCCCCAGAUGUUAGUUUCAUUCAAAUGCAUUCCAUAUGAACAACAUUCGAAGGAACAGUUUUCUAAUCUCCCAUCCCCCAUUCUCCCUUCCGAAAAUCAUCCUUACAAGAGAAAUUUAGGGUUUUUCUGGCAAGAACUUAAAGAUAUCCAGUUUAAGUGCUUAAUUCUAGGAUGUGGAGUGGAGCAGAGCACUUGAGCUGUGAAAGAGCUGCGUGUUUUUAUUGUAGGCCCCUCUCUGCUACACUCUUCACACUUGAUUAUGCAUCAAACCUAAAAUU